rnacentral:rRNA from 1 species
GGUUCAUUCAAAUUUCUGCCCUAUCAACUUUCGAUGGUAAGGUAUUGGCUUACCAUGGUUUCAACGGGUAACGGGGAAUUAGGGUUCGAUUCCGGAGAGGGAGCCUGAGAAACGGCUACCACAUCCAAGGAAGGCAGCAGGCGCGCAAAUUACCCAAUCCCGACCGGGGAGGUAGUGACAAUAAAUACUGAUACAGGGNCUUUUUGGGUCUUGUAAUUGGAAUGAGUACAAUUUAAACCUCUUAACGAGGAACAAUUGGAGGGCAAGUCUGGUGCCAGCAGCCGCGGUAAUUCCAGCUCCAAUAGCGUAUAUUAAAGUUGUUGCAGUUAAAAAGCUCGUAGUUG